UUAAAGUCCUAUUCCUGACCUACCUGUGCAUUUGUUUCCGUUUCCAUGGUGAUGACACGGGGCCUCCGUUUGAUUGGCAGACUCGAUGGUGACGUUCCAAUCAGCCGUGGAGUAGUUGCAUAAGGCCAGAGCUGCAGUCUGUACACCUUGGCCAUGUCCUCGCUUACAACAAGGCCACAUUCGGCGUGUGGAACUGUGAGGAGGACAAAGGUGUUGAAGAUCCCCCUCUGUGCUCAUUAAUAUCCUUCAUUGAGGAAUGAGAUUCCUGAAGGCCAAAGCUGAGCACAACGCAGGCCGGAGUGAGUCCUCCAUGGUUCAUCAUCGAUGUUGGUCAACAUGGUCGUCUUUUGGUGUGUUCUUCAACCAUGAAAAAGUCCCAAUAGAGGUCACCGAUGUCACACCACAGUGCAGGAUCGUGGUUCCCUGAAGGGGUUGCUCCCAGUGGGGACCCCGACCAGCAGAGCAUCCCUGCCUGCGUUCUGGAGACAGUACUGCUGGAGCUCUGCAGCCGCCUGGGACACCUGCCAUUAAUACUUUCAGUUGCUCUACCAUCCGCCGCAUGCUGGCUAAAUUGGAAUUGGAGGUCAUGGUGGUGAAGGCAGAAAAUUGCUUUGCCAGAGCAACUAAACCCUUGUGAAAAAGUCUCAGCAGUGUGUGAGCGCAGGCAUUUGACUCCACAAAUGGGAAGCGAACACCCGCCAAGGAAGGAAGAGCGGGCUGGCCUUCUUUCCAAGUGACCUCAGUCCCCUCGGCUGCAAGGGGAAGGAGAAACAAAAGCGACGUGCAAAUGUAGUACUGUAUGUGUUGUCUGUACGCUGUUAUUCAUUUGAAAUACAAACAGAAUCAAAUUCACUGUUUACUUAUCCAUAAAUCAUAACACUUCAAGCCAAACAUUCCUUCAAAAUAAUACAAAAUUUAGUAGCAUUGUUGUAGUUGGAUCAACAACACAUGAGAGAUCUGUAGAACUUUAAGUCACUGCAUGUUUUCAUGCUGUUUUAAA